rnacentral:rRNA from 1 species
AACGAACGCUGGCGGCGUGCUUAACACAUGCAAGUCGAACGAGAAAGUUUCCUUCGGGAAACGAGUAGAGUGGCGCACGGGUGAGUAACGCGUAGGUAAUCUACCCUUAUAUUUGGGAUAACAGACCGAAAGGUCUGCUAAUACCGGAUACACUUUUAGUUAUGCGAGUAACUUUGAGGAAAGGUGGCCUCUUCAUGAAAGCUACCGUAUAGGGAUGAGCCUGCGUACCAUUAGCUAGUAGGUGGGGUAACGGCCCACCUAGGCGACGAUGGUUAGCGGGUCUGAGAGGAUGAUCCGCCACACUGGAACUGGAACACGGACCAGACUCCUACGGGAGGCAGCAGUGAGGAAUAUUGCGCAAUGGGGGAAACCCUGACGCAGCGACGCCGCGUGAGUGAGGAAGGUUUUCGGAUCGUAAAGCUCUGUCAGAAGGGAAGAACGGCAUCCAUUCGAAUAGGGUGGGUGAUUGACGGUACCUCCAAAGGAAGCGCCGGCUAACUCCGUG